UACGUAGGGGGCAAGCGUUGUCCGGAAUCAUUGGGCGUAAAGAGCGUGUAGGCGGCCCGAUAAGUCCGCUGUGAAAGUCCAGGGCUCAACCCUGGGAUGCCGGUGGAUACUGUCGGGCUCGAGUCCGGAGGAGGAGUGUGGAAUUCCUGGUGUAGCGGUGAAAUGCGCAGAUAUCAGGAGGAACACCAAUGGCGAAGGCAGCACUCUGGGACGGUACUGACGCUGAGACGCGAAAGCGUGGGGAGCGAACAGG
rnacentral:rRNA from 1 species